UACGUAGGGUGCGAGCGUUAAUCGGAAUUACUGGGCGUAAAGCGUGCGCAGGCGGCUUCGCAAGUCAGACGUGAAAUCCCCGGGCUUAACCUGGGAAUGGCGUUUGAAACUACGGAGCUGGAGUGUGGCAGAGGGAGGUAGAAUUCCACGUGUAGCAGUGAAAUGCGUAGAGAUGUGGAGGAACACCGAUGGCGAAGGCAGCCCCCUGGGUCGACACUGACGCUCAUGCACGAAAGCGUGGGGAGCAAACAGG
rnacentral:rRNA from 1 species